rnacentral:rRNA from 1 species
CCUACGGGAGACAGCAGUGAGGAUAUUGGUCAAUGGACGAGAGUCUGAACCAGCCAAGUAGCGUGAAGGAUGACUGCCCUAUGGGUUGUAAACUUCUUUUAAGAGGGAAGAGCAGAAGACGGUACCUCUUGAAUAAGCCACGGCUAACUACGUGCCAGCAGCCGCGGUAAUACGUAGGUGGCAAGCGUUGUCCGGAUUUACUGGGUGUAAAGGGCGUGUAGCCGGGCUGACAAGUCAGAUGUGAAAUCCCGUGGCUCAACCACGGAACUGCAUUUGAAACUGUCGGUCUUGAGUAUCGGAGAGGCAGGCGGAAUUCCUAGUGUAGCGGUGAAAUGCGUAGAUAUUAGGAGGAACACCAGUGGCGAAGGCGGCCUGCUGGACGACAACUGACGGUGAGGCGCGAAAGCGUGGGGAGCAAACAGGAUUAGAUACCCUUGUAGUC